GUAGUCUGCAACCCGACUACAUGAAGCCGGAAUCGCUAGUAAUCGCGGAUCAGAAUGCCGCGGUGAAUACGUUCCCGGGUCUUGUACACACCGCCCGUCACACCAUGGGAGUCGGAAAUGCCCGAAGUCUGUGACCCAACCGCAAGGAGGGAGCAGCCGAAGGCAGGUCGGAUGACUGGGUGAAGUCGUAACAAGGUAAC
rnacentral:rRNA from 1 species